AGGAAAGCAUUCAAUAUACCAUAGACAGCAACGGCCAAGGGGCUUAAUCAUGUUGCCGAGGUAACGAAAAUCAUAUAAAAUUUUUUGAUGGAUCA
rfam:Coprobacillus sp. CAG:826 genomic scaffold, scf32